CAGGAGAAGAUACCUCAAGAGCAAAGAAGAAAGCUGAGGUCAAAUUUCAGAGGAUUUGCAAAAUUCUGGUUUUUCUAUGGAAAGCUGUGUUUCUUGCAUUCCUUUUCCAAUUCUAUACCUCACCUGUCUCCCACCCAAAGAGAAAACAAGAUUCAGGGCGUUGACAAGAUCAGAAGGUCCAUGUGGAAUCUUCUUGGAACCGAAAUCGCCGGCGCAAGAAGGGCAGAUGAACAUUUUUUAAUUGAAAAGUAAUACGGUUUAGCAGCUUCCAUUUCCCUUUGAACAGAAGACUUUUUUGAAGUUUUGAUUAAUAGGGCACAUUACUCAAGCCGAGCUUUCACUCGCCAUCCACCACUGCUGUUUGCCGCCAUCGCAGACCCGCCACUGACUUCCACCCCUCCGGAUAUGGCAGGAUGUCUUCUGUGCUCCUGAUCCAGCAAGGCGCCCAUUGCUGCUCCCAAUCGGGCUAAAGGCUCCCCAUUGUUCCUGCGUGGCUAAGUGCCUGGGUUCUCCUAAUCGAGCUGAACACUAGUCGUUGGGUUCCAUGGUUCUCUUCUGUGACCCACAGCUUCUAAUAGAGCUAUAACACUCACCGCAUGGCCCAAGGUUCCAUUCCUUGGAAUCCAUGAAGCCAAGAACCCCAGGUCAGAGAAAAAGAGGCUUGCCACCAUCUUGGAAGCAGCCCACCACCAUCUCGGGAGCUCUAAGAACAAGGACCCUCCCAGUAACAUUUUGGUGACCAUGAAGGGACAUCCAAAGUGAUCAAGCUGAGCUUUCACUCGCCAUCCACCACUGCUGUUUGCCGCCAUUGCAGACCUGCCACUGACUUCCACCCCUCCGGAUCUGGCAGGAUGUCUGCUGUGCUCCUGAUCCAGCGAGGUGCCCAUUGCCGCUCCCGAUCGGGCUAAAGGCUCACCAUUGUUCCUGCAUGGCUAAGUGCCUGGGUUCUCCUAAUCGAGCUGAACACUAGUCGCUGGGUUCCACGGUUCUCUUCCGUGACCCAUGGCUUCUAAUAGAGCUAUAACACUCACUGCAUGGCCCAAGGUUCCAUUCCUUGGAAUCCAUGAGGCCAAGAACCCCAGGUCAGACUACAAGAGGCGGGCUGCCAUCUUGGGAGCAGCCCGCCAUCAUCUUGGGAGCUCUAAGAACAAGGACUGACGCCCACCCCCCCCCGCCCCAGUAACAAUUGCAUAGUUACUUCUGCCAAAGUAAUCAAGGUCCAAGAAAGGGUAUUCUAUAUAGAAUUCUGAGUGACUUGCUUGUCACUUUUGAGUGUGUGUGUACUCUUCUUAAUAUGGAAAACAAACCUCCCAUCCCUUGUUUGAAUUUAAACAUCAAUAAAUUAAUGACAAUAAUUCCACUUACAUUUGUGUAGAGCUCUACAGCUCUUUAAAGAGAACUAUGGAGGAAAGUUGAGCAAAAGAUACUAAGAAAGAACAGCCUGGCAGAAAGUAAGAGAACACUAAGGGAAUGAUGUCAAAAGACAAAUGAAGAAGGAGAAUCAAAUAUUGCAUAGAUGGCUUUAGGGAUGUGGACCAAUAAAAGGUUACAGAGUUUGGAAAUUAAGAAAUCAUUGAUGAUCUUAAGAACCAUUUCAGUGGAGGGGAGUGAAAUGUUGGAUGCCAAGUACAUUUGGUUGAGAAUUUAAUGAGUAGCUAAUCAGAAUAAUAAGUAUUAGACAAUAUCUUCAAGAUGUAAAAAGAUACAGAGAGAAAUAAAAUAGUAAAUAACUUGAAGGGUGACCACUGGAACACAGAGUGGAAAGAAAUUAGUUGAAAGGAUGGGUGAACAUUGAAUGAGGUCAUAGGCCUAGGAUGAGGAGGAAAUAUAAAGAAAUUUAAUGAGAAUUAGAUAAGAAAGAAUAUGAAAAAUGAAGCAAAGUUUGGGAAGAAGAAAGGCCAUCCAAGGGAUAAAGCACAUAUAAGAAAAUCCUGGAAUGCAGUAUUGAAGACAAUAAGGAAGAAAGCCCACACCCUUUCUUAAUAGGGCCUGUCAGGGAAGAAUGAUUGUCAGCACAGCUAAAAGGAAACAUAUCUAAGGCUCUCCUGGGGUAGGUAACACCCGGCCAUUUUAGCAGUUCCCAUUCAAUGCCCAUUUGAGAUGAUACAUGACACGUUUCAGAAGGCAGCUUAGAAAAGGAGGCCUUUUGGGAACUGAGCAAGUUUUUAAAAAUCAUUUUGCUGAAAAAUCAAUUAAGCAAAGAAUCAAUUCACCAAAUUUAUCAAUUCAUUAAAAAUGUUUUUCUCUUAACUAUUUACAAGUUUACAGCAAUUAGUAUUGAAUGAGAUUCAGCUGAUUUUUGAAGAUUGGGGGGAAGUUUUGGUUGACUAGUUAUUUUUUGUUCUUCACGCUACCAUUUUAAGGAAUAUUUACUCUAUUAAAAACUAAGUAUAUUAUGUCGCGCUUUAUGUAUAAUUCAAUAGCAGUAAUCAAAAUUUCAGUGCUACCUAUGGAGUUUUUAUUAUACUGACUCAAAUAUACACUGAAUAAGGCAUAUAAUAUCAGAUUAUACUGAUUCAAAUAUAUUUUACUUAUUUUUUGCCUUGCUCACCCUUUGUUAUAUUUAAGACUCUUUUGCCAAUAUAUCAAGUGGAAUAACCCAGUAAUACUGUUAUUAUAGCAAUUAGUGGCCAAAAUUUAACUUAUGUACAUCCCUUAGCUGUGUCACUUGGGCUAUUUGUGGCUGUGGAAGAGGCAAGUUUGAGAUUUGCUGCAAGAGUACCUGGGGCAGCAUCAGCCAUAAGGUCACUGGGGGACCCAUGAUUUCAAGGAUAGAAUGUGUAAUCAGCUUCCCAGAAAACCAGGACACCAGGUUACUAAAGCCCAGAAAAGACCGGAGCUGGAGUGACUCGUGGAGCACUGUUAGCUAACAUAUUAUUUGAUCUCUACAUCAUAAUUUUGUUUUUAGAUGUAAUAUACUUUAAAUUUAAAGUCCCAACCACACGAUCCUUUAUAAUAAUCCCAUCUGAGCAGCCUCACUUUCUUUUUCCUUCUUUGAAUGGCUUCAACCUUUCCUUUCUCUGCCACUGUCAACAAGUCUAUGCCUUCAGAUGCUUUCUGUAGUAGCAUCAACAUCUUUUCCUAAAAGACUGAUAUCAGAAUAAGUGAAUGCCAAAAUCAAUUUUAUUUGGGCCAGAAAUAAACCUCUUUAAUGAGAGAAUAACAAAUUGGAUUAUAUAAGCAUAUUUGUAGAGCCCUUUGGGGAUGGAAAAGGGUACCUUCUGGCCCAUUUCUUUUGAGCAUUGGCCCCAUGAGGAAGCUGGUGCAUGGCCUGAGUCAUUUUGCUGGGUCACACUCACAAAGUCAGCCACAAAGUAAGUAGGCAGGGCAGCUGUCCACAAUGCUUGGAAAACUGGAGUUGGAUUUCCCGUGCUUAAGUUCUGGUCAGUAAUAAGUUCAGCUCACUUAUUAGUAAAUAUUCGGCAAAUGAUUUAAUCUCUCUCUGCCUUUUUUUUUCAUUCAUGAAACUAGGUAAGAAUUCAGUGAGUUUACGUGUGUGUGUAUGUGUGUGUUUGUGUGUGUGUGUAUUUCAUGCUUAUGUGUGUGGCACAUAAUAGACACUGAAUACAUUUUAGUUGUUUUGUGCAUACUGGAAAACAGCUUAGACUCACACUUUACUUUGUAAGUUCUUCCCUUGUUGUUUUGCAUGAGGUAAGCCUAAAAAGUGGAAAUUAAGUUAAAUGCUAUUAUUUUUCUGAUAUAGGAUUUAUUUAUUCAUUCAAGAAAUAUUUAUUGAAGGCAUACCACAUGUCAUGCUUUGUGUUGAAUGCAUAAUGAAAUAAUAGAGGAAAAUAAUUAUAGUGUCUACCCUCGAGGAGUUUACAGUCUAGUAGGGAGGAGGUCAAACCAUAAAUAAAGUGCAGUUAGAAUGCAUGAGGUGAAUGAUGUGAAGGAAAAGAACAGAUGUAAAACAAAUGUAAAAUGCAAAGCUUCCAUCAGUUUAAACCUGUGCUUAUGAUAGUGGCAAUUGGAGUUACUGGUGGCAAGAAUACAGGUACUUUAUUCUCCUCUUCACUGAAGAAUAUCCUAGUAGAAAAUUAAUCAUGUCCAGAGUUAGUCUCUUAUAUAAUACAUUUGUAUCUCUAGAUGCUGAGGUUGUUAUAGUAGGAUUCACUUAUAUGACCGAAGAGUUAGCUAUUAAGCAGUGAAUCUUUCCUCAAAAGGAAAGUACAGAUUGAAAGAGAAGUAGGUAAUAUGUACCAUGAGAGAGGAUGCACUUUGAAAGAGGGAGAGAGGAAAUUGAGGAGAGGGUGGAAAGUCUCCCUCAGACUCCUCUCCAGGCUAAGUCUCCUCCAUCCGAGCCAUUUUUUUUUCCUUUUUUUUGAGACAGAGUCUCACUCUGUCACCCAGGCUGAAGUGCAGUGGCAUUAUCUCGGCUCACUGCAACUUCCGCCUCCCAAGUUCAAGCAAUUCUCCUGCCUCAGCCUCCCAAGUAGCUGGGAUUACAGGCAUGCCACGCCACACCCAGCUAAUUUUUGUAUUUUUAGUAGAGAUGGAGUUUCACCAUGUUGGCCAGGCUGGUCUCAAACUCCUGACCUCAGGUGAUCCACUAGCCUCAGCCUCCCAAAGUGCUGGGAUUACAGGCAUGAGCCACCGUGCCCAGCCUGGAGCCAUUUUUCUGUGCCGUGUUUAUGUCCUCAUGGACACCAAAGAGGGCUGAAAAGUGUACUCCUUUAAAGGGUCUUGGGUUCCUCCACACCUCUGACUCCUUCCAGUUUGGGCUUCACAGAGAUAACAUGACAAGGGAGGCAUAGAUCCCUUGGACAUAGUGGUGACAGGUUUUUCCAUUCCCAAAAGAGACCUAGAUUUGCACCAGCAGCAUUUGUGACCAGUUGUUUCAAUUUGCCUGGAACUGAGAUGUUUCCUAGAAUGUGAGACAUUCAGUGCUAAAACUGGGAUGAUCCCAGGCUAAUCAAGAUAGUUGGCCACGCUGAUGGCAGAGAAGUCUCACGAAAGCAGAUAACCUGAUCUGCUUUACGCUCUGGAGCAUCUCCAUUUUUGGGCCCCUAGUAAUGGAGUGUGGUGGUUAAAUAUGGGGGAUUUGGGGAUCAGAAAACAUGUAUCUAAAUCUGCUUUUCACCUACAAGCUGUGUAACUGUAAGCAUUUUACUGUACCUUUCUGAGCCUCUAUUUCCUCACCUGUAAAAUCAUGACAUACUUCACAGGUUUUUGUAAGGAUUAAGUAAAUAAUGAGUGCAAAGUGUUCCACACACCACCUGACACACCACACUGUCAGCACAUUCUGUGUGUUAGUCAUUAAUUUUACUACUUCGGUAGACCUUCAGCAAAUAUCUGUUACUUGGCUCUAUCAUGUUUCUGACAGUUACUAAUGUUUUUUUCCCUGGAAUUUGGGGGUUAGGGAGUAAUGAAUAUGACACCCCCAUUGCCUACCGCUAUAGACUGAAUGCUUAUGUUAUGUUCCCCCAAAAUUCAUAUGUUGAAAUGCUAACCCACAAUAUGAUGGUAUUAAGAAGUGAAGCCUUUAGAAGGUGAUUAAGUCAUGACAGUGGAGCCUCCAAGAAUGGGAUUAAUACCCUCAUAAAAGAAACCCCAGAGAGCUUCCUUGCUUCUUCUGCUAUGUGAUGACUCAGUGAGAAGACAGCCGUCUAUAAACUAGGAAUCAAGCCCUCGCUAGACAUGGAACCUGCCAGCACCUUGAUCUUGGACUUCUCAUCCUUCAGAACUGAGAAAAAUACGUUUCUUUUGUUUAUAAGCCACCCAUUCUAUGGUAUUUUGUUAGAGCAGCCCAGAUGGACUAAGACACCCACUCUCCCCAACCCAGACUACCUCACAUCACAGCUAUGAUCAUGCCUUCCUACGUUCUUUGGAAACUCAGUCAUAUCCCUUUGUUGUCUCCGUAUCUCACCAAGGAGUGUCUUGAGCAGAAUACUUCAUUGUCCCAGCAACAGACAGAGUCACAUUCUCUCCACCUCUCCUUCAUCCUGGGACCACCUUCCCAGGAAGACAGGGCUACCUCAUACUCAUUACUAUUGUUAGCGUGGAAAAUAUUUGGCUGAUUCAGCCAGGAUUCAGGGGGUAAGCAGAAAGGAGAGGAGCACACUGUGCUCUUUCAAGGGUGUAGGGAAACGUAUAGCCAGAAGCCAGGUCACAAUCUGUCAGGAGAGAGAGGUUGGGUUUCACUGGGCAGCAGGUUGGCUUUGAACCAAAUCCCAAAUAAUCAUUACGGCAAAGGGCUCACUGUAUAAAUGAAACAGCCAACAUAUAUUAUAUAAAAAGUAAGUCCAACGAGGAAGCAUUUUAGCUUCCCAAGUAAAAAGAUUUCUGGACUCCCAAGGGAAAGCUUAGGAGGUAUAGAAUGAAAGAUUUGGGAAAAGCACAGAAAAUGCAUUAAUGCUACUAUGAUUUUAAAAGAGUAGGGGAUUUCUUGGAGCAUUUUAAAACUACACUCAGUAACCCCACCAAAAUUCUGAGACACCCCCUUUGAAACACCCCCUCCAACACACAUACACAUGUCCCAUGAAAAUCUCUAGAACUGUGAUAUGUGAUUAUCCAUGGAGUGUGUCUCAUCCUCACAUCCAUGAUGCCAGUGGGGAAGCAAGACUGAGACUUCAUGGCUGGUGAAUAGAGCACUGGGCUAGGAGACCAGAGAUCUUCAUUUCAACCCAAUCCAUUUGUGACAGUGGCAAAUCAACCACUUCUUUGUUCUUCAGCUGCUCCAGCAGUAAAAGGAUCACAGCCAUUUCUGUUCAUUUCUCCUGCAGAGGGUACUUGUAAAAGGGAAUAAGAUCUCAUGUGUGGAGACACUCUUCAGAAGAUGAGAAUGUGUGCAUACCUUAUAUUAUUAAUAAUAAAAAUUGGAUUCAAAAAUUCUGCCUAGACACUUUUGUCAAACGGCCAGGCAUGUGUAAUUCCUCUGUAAUGAUACCAGUUAUUUGUACUACCUAGUCUUUGGAAAUUUGAAGGUACUUUUUUAAGCAACAGGAG
rnacentral:lncRNA from 10 species